GGAUUAGAUACCCUGGUAGUCCACGCUGUAAACGAUGAUUACUCGCUGUUGGCGAUACACUGUCAGCGGCUAAGCGAAAGUGAUAAGUAAUCCACCUGGGGAGUACGUUCGCAAGAAUGAAACUCAAAGGAAUUGACGGGGGCCCGCACAAGCGGUGGAGCAUGUGGUUUAAUUCGAUGAUACGCGAGGAACCUUACCAGGGCUUAAAUGUAGAACGACCGGUCUGGAAACAGACCUUCUCUUUGAGCGGUCUACAAGGUGCUGCAUGGUUGUCGUCAGCUCGUGCCG
rnacentral:rRNA from 1 species